rnacentral:misc_RNA from 1 species
GAUGAAGAACGCAGCGAAAUGCGAUACGUAAUGUGAAUUGCAGAAUUCAGUGAAUCAUCGAAUCUUUGAACGCAUAUUGCGCUCUCUGGUAUUCCGGAGAGCAUGCUUGUUUGAGUAUCAGUAAACACCUCAACUUCCAUAUCUUUUUUGAAAUGAGAGUUGGACUUGAGUGAUCCCAACGCUUUUCCUCACCGAAAAGUGGCGGGUUACUUGAAAUGCAGGUGCAGCUGGACUUUUCUCUGAGCUAUAAGCAUAUCUAUUUAGUCUGCCUAAAAAACAGAUUAUUACCUUUGCUGCAGCUAACAUAAAGGAGAUUAGUUCUUGUGCUGACUGAUGCAGGAUUCACAAAGACGGCUUCGGCCGACUUUGUAAACUCGAUCUCAAAUCAAGUAAGACUACCCGCUGAACUUAAGCAUAUCAAUAAGCGGAGGA